rnacentral:rRNA from 1 species
ACGGAAGGCAGCAGUGAGGAAUAUUGGUCAAUGGACGAGAGUCUGAACCAGCCAAGUAGCGUGCAGGAUGACGGCCCUGUGGGUUGUAAACUGCUCUUGUACGGGAAUAAAGUGACCUACGUGUAGGUUUUUGCAUGUACCGUAAGAAUAAGGACCGGCUAAUUCCGUGCCAGCAGCCGCGGUAAUACGGAAGGUCCGGGCGUUAUCCGGAUUUAUUGGGUUUAAAGGGAGCGUAGGCCGUGCUUUAAGCGUGUUGUGAAAUGUAGGCGCCCAACGUCUGCACUGCAGCGCGAACUGGAGCACUUGAGUACGCAGGAAGUAGGCGGAAUUCGUCGUGUAGCGGUGAAAUGCUUAGAUAUGUCACAGAACCCCGAUUGCGAAGGCAGCUUACCAGCAUACAACUGACGCUGAGGCACGAAAGCGUGGGUAUCAAACAGGAUUAGAUACCCUGGUA